GGUUUUGGUAAAUGGGAGUAUAGGAAUUUGUGGAGGGGGCUUCGAAUUCGCCGCCUUCUUUGGAGUGUUGUUGCCCUUAGGAGGACGCCCGAGGAAGCGGUAACAAGACCUAAAGAGGGGCCAAGGCUUGUUACGAAAAAGAAAAAAAGACAGAUUACUCCACUAACUAAGAAAGGGGUGUCUCUAUCCUACUAAAGGGGGGGAGGA
rnacentral:rRNA from 1 species